GACGAACGCUGGCGGCGUGCCUAAUACAUGCAAGUAGAACGCUGAAGCGAGGAGCUUGCUCUUCUUGGAUGAGUUGCGAACGGGUGAGUAACGCGUAGGUAACCUGCCUUGUAGCGGGGGAUAACUAUUGGAAACGAUAGCUAAUACCGCAUAACAAUGGAUGACACAUGUCAUUUAUUUGAAAGGGGCAAUUGCUCCACUACAAGAUGGACCUGCGUUGUAUUAGCUAGUAGGUGAGGUAAUGGCUCACCUAGGCGACGAUACAUAGCCGACCUGAGAGGGUGAUCGGCCACACUGGGACUGAGACACGGCCCAGACUCCUACGGGAGGCAGCAGUAGGGAAUCUUCGGCAAUGGGGGCAACCCUGACCGAGCAACGCCGCGGGAGUGAAGAAGGGUUUCGGAUCGUAAAGCUCUGUUGUAAGUCAAGAACGGGUGUGAGAGUGGAAAGUUCACACUGUGACGGUAGCUGACCAGAAAGGGACGGCUAACUACGUG
rnacentral:rRNA from 1 species